GGAAACGGGUUAAUAUUCCCGUACUUGGUGUUACUGCGAAGGGGGGACGGAGAAGGCUAUGUUGGCCGGGCGACGGUUGUCCCGGUUUAAGCGUGUAGGUGUGUGUUCCAGGUAAAUCCGGUUCACUUUAACACUGAGGCGUGACGACGAGGCACUACGGUGCUGAAGCAACAAAUGCCCUGCUUCCAGGAAAAGCCUCUAAGCAUCAGGUAACAUCAAAUCGUACCCCAAACCGACACAGGUGGUCAGGUAGAGAAUACCAAGGCGCUUGAGAGAACUCGGGUGAAGGAACUAGGCAAAAUGGUGCCGUAACUUCGGGAGAAGGCACGCUGACACGUAGGUGAAGUGAUUUACUCAUGGAGCUGAAGUCAGUCGAAGAUACCAGCUGGCUGCAACUGUUUAUUAAAACACAGCACUGUGCAAACACGAAAGUGGACGUAUACGGUGUGACGCCUGCCCGGUGCCGGAAGGUUAAUUGAUGGGGUCAGCGCAAGCGAAGCUCCUGAUCGAAGCCCCGGUAAACGGCGGCCGUAACUAUAACGGUCCUAAGGUAGCGAAAUUCCUUGUCGGGUAAGUUCCGACCUGCACGAAUGGCGUAAUGAUGGCCAGGCUGUCUCCACCCGAGACUCAGUGAAAUUGAACUCGCUGUGAAGAUGCAGUGUACCCGCGGCAAGACGGAAAGACCCCGUGAACCUUUACUAUAGCUUGACACUGAACAUUGAGCCUUGAUGUGUAGGAUAGGUGGGAGGCUUUGAAGUGUGGACGCCAGUCUGCAUGGAGCCGACCUUGAAAUACCACCCUUUAAUGUUUGAUGUUCUAACGUGGACCCGUAAUCCGGGUUGCGGACAGUGUCUGGUGGGUAGUUUGACUGGGGCGGUCUCCUCCUAAAGAGUAACGGAGGAGCACGAAGGUUGGCUAAUCCUGGUCGGACAUCAGGAGGUUAGUGCAAUGGCAUAAGCCAGCUUGACUGCGAGCGUGACGGCGCGAGCAGGUGCGAAAGCAGGUCAUAGUGAUCCGGUGGUUCUGAAUGGAAGGCCAUCGCUCAACGGAUAAAAGGUACUCCGGGG
rnacentral:rRNA from 1 species